rnacentral:rRNA from 1 species
UACGUAGGGGGCAAGCGUUGUCCGGAAUCAUUGGGCGUAAAGAGCGUAUAGGCGGCCAGAAAAGUCCGCUGUGAAAACUCGAGGCUCAACUUCGAGCUGUCGGUGGAAACUUUCUGGCUAGAGUCCGGAAGAGGAGAAUGGAAUUCCUGGUGUAGCGGUGAAAUGCGCAGAUAUCAGGAAGAACACCCGUGGCGAAGGCGGUUCUCUGGGACGGUACUGACGCUGAGACGCGAAAGCGUGGGGAGCGAACAGG